GAUUAACGCUGGCGGCGUGCAUAACACAUGCAAGUCGAACGAUGAAACUUAAAUGAUUUCUUCGGAAUGAACUUAAGUGGAUUAGUGGCGGACGGGUGAGUAACGCGUGAGUAACCUGCCUUACACAAGGGGAUAGCCGUUGGAAACGACGAAUAAUACCCUAUGAAACUAUCACUUCGCAUGAAGCGAUAGUCAAAGUGUUAGCGGUGUAAGAUGGACUUGCGUCUGAUUAGCUAGUUGGUGAGAAAAAAGCCCACCAAGGCAACGAUCAGUAGCCGGCUUGAGAGAGUGUACGGCCACAUUGGGACUGAGACACGGCCCAGACUCCUACGGGAGGCAGCAGUGGGGAAUUUUGCACAAUGGGGGAAAACCUGAUGCAGCGACGCCGCGUGAUUUAGAAGGCCUUCGGGUUGUAAAAAUCUUUUGUAUAGGAAGAAAAUGACAGUACUAUACGAAUAAGGUCCGGCUAAUUACGUG
rnacentral:rRNA from 1 species